GACGAACGCUGGCGGCGUGCCUAAUACAUGCAAGUCGAGCGGACUGAUUAAGAGCUUGCUCUUAUGACGUUAUCGGCGGACGGGUGAGUAACACGUGUGCAACCUACCCUGUAGAUCGGGAUAACACCGAGAAAUCGGUGCUAAUGCCGGGUGAUAUCUGGGAUCACAUUAUCUUAGCUUAAAAGAUGGCUCUUGCUAUCACUACAGCCUGGGCCCGCGGCGCAUUAGCGAGUUGGUAAGGUAAUGGUCUACCACACCGACGCUGCGAAGCCGACCUGAGAGGGCGACGGGCCACACCUGGACUGAGAGACGGCCCAGACACCUUCGGGAGGCAGCAGGAGGGAAUCUCCCGCGAUAGGCGGAAGUGUGACGUAGUAGAGCCGGGUGGGUGAUGAAGGGUUGCGGCGCGUAGUGAGCUGUGGUUAGGGUAGAAACAGAACGGAACGAACUAGGUCGGUAUCUUGACGGUACCUAAACAGAAAGCCACGGCUAACUACGUG
rnacentral:rRNA from 1 species